rnacentral:rRNA from 1 species
AGCGAACGCUGGCGGCAGGCCUAACACAUGCAAGUCGAACGGAUCCUUCGGGAUUAGUGGCGGACGGGUGAGUAACACGUGGGAACGUGCCUUUUGGUUCGGAACAACUCAGGGAAACUUGAGCUAAUACCGGAUGUGCCCUUCGGGGAAGGAUUAUCGCCAUUAGAGCGGCCCGCGUCUGAUUAGUCUUGUUGGUGGAGGUAAAGGACUCACCAAGGCUACGAUCAGUAGCUGGUCUGAGAGGA